rnacentral:lncRNA from 1 species
CAGGAUUCAUAAUGGGUGCAAUGGGUCAACAUAAAGAACGGAUCUACACAUGUGAAACGAUGAAUCCAAACAUAUCACAUUCUAUUGGAAAUGGGGAUAAGAACUCUUACGAAUUAGCGACGGAUAGGGAGUAACCGACGACGUUGGGUGAGAAGCGACGACGUAUGGCGGAGGCGGCAAAUGGUGGGGGCGGCAACAGAUCUAGGAAUUCCUCCUUCGCGGUUUCCACUCUCGCAGUACACUAGUGGCGGGGUGCAGGGGUGGAACCGUCGAAUGGAGGUAUCGGGGCAGGUUUUAUAAGCAGCCAAGCCUAGGCCCACCUAUACUUGAGGUGGCGCGGCUAAACCUAAUCAUAUCGUUGGACCGGCUUACUAUAUAUAUAAGCCAACGCUAUUUGUCACCUAAGGUAAAGCUUCACCAAGUCGGUAUUAAUCGAUUAUUACCGAUUGGGUGAAUUCACCCAACCAAAUCACCCUACAUCCAUAACUUCCACUCUAUCGAACAAAAUGCACACAUACUUAACAUAAUAUCAAAACCAACAGUUUAAAUCGCUGAAUAACUCCAUCUCUCUUAGAGCUAAUUUGGUGAUCAGGGAUCCCCAGGGGAAGAAAACCUCUUGCUAUUCAAAAUUGAAUUGGAAGGGGAUUCUUCCCCCAUGAAUCCUCUAGGGAUCCCUAAUCACCAAAUCAGCUCUUAUACAUAAUUUAAUUAACAAUAUUAUUUGAAUCUCACUCAUGCCCUCCCUCCCCCGCGUCCCACCCAUGCCGUCGCCGCCAUCACUGUCGAUCCAGGGGGCGGCUGCUGCGGCGAGACGACAAUAUCAGAAGUGUAGCGUGUACUGGUUUGUCUAUAUAUCCUGUGCGGUCACUGGUUGCGUAAGCCAGAGCUGGUGUUCGUUUCCUGCAUUGUCACAGGUUGUUUCUUUGGAGAAAUCGGUGCGGGCAUACAAGAUACGACGAUGGACCAAGAGCGUUGUUACCUAGCUACUGAACUAUAGCUAGCUUAUUGUUAACUAGCUAUAGCAACAGCGUCAAGUACCUAUUAUAUAUUGCCAUCGCAUGUUUUUGUCUUCGUCUCUUUUUUUUUCCUCCAGUACAGAAUCCACCGCACCUCUCUCUCUCUGCUUUCACCUGUAGAGUUAGGAACUUUUACAAAAACAAAUACCAAACUGGCGUUUGUUAUGACGACAUAGCAAUUCGUUUUUUCUUCGGUUCUAGCUAGUCCGUGCGACCGUCACAACGAAAAGGAGAGUUCGACGCCUACGGCGGCGCAUCUACCAUGGCCAGUCACGGUCUAAACCCAUAGGCGGCUUCGACCGUCGCGUUGUGGGUACUGCUGGGUACCGCCGUGACUGAGACGGUAAUAUAUAGGUAGACACAGUCGAUAGCUAACGUAGUAGGAGGAUGUUGACAUACCAUGGACUAACGACGACAGGUCGACGCCGAGAAUGCGAGUUCUGACGAUAUCCCAUAGCACAUUGGAUCAUCGAGGAGCACGAAGACGGCAACGGAGCUGUCAAGGUCGGUAGCGCGACACUGAUGAGCGCUGGCGGCGAACGGCGGGGGGGGCUGG